rnacentral:rRNA from 1 species
AGUGAACGCUGGCGGUAGGCCUAACACAUGCAAGUCGAACGGCAGCACAGUAAGAGCUUGCUCUUACGGGUGGCGAGUGGCGGACGGGUGAGGAAUACAUCGGAAUCUACCUUUUCGUGGGGGAUAACGUAGGGAAACUUACGCUAAUACCGCAUACGACCUACGGGUGAAAGCAGGGGAUCUUCGGACCUUGCGCGAUUGAAUGAGCCGAUGUCGGAUUAGCUAGUUGGCGGGGUAAAGGCCCACCAAGGCGACGAUCCGUAGCUGGUCUGAGAGGAUGAUCAGCCACACUGGAACUGAGACACGGUCCAGACUCCUACGGGGGGCAGCAGUGGGGAAUAUUGGACAAUGGGCGCAAGCCUGAUCCAGCCAUACCGCGUGGGUGAAGAAGGCCUUCGGGUUGUAAAGCCCUUUUGUUGGGAAAGAAAAGCAGCAGGUUAAUACCCCGCUGUUCUGACGGUACCCAAAGAAUAAGCACCGGCUAACUUCGUG